GUUGGGUGUCUGCUUCCAGUUUAGAAGACCUCUUUGCCAGGAACAAAUGCUGACAAUUUGAUCUGCUCUGGGAUCCAUUCAAGAUUCUGUUUACCCAGCUUUUGCUCUGAAUUGUAUCGUUAUAGAUUACCAACUUAACUUACCAACCACUACAGAACUGGUGAUUCAUGUCUGAAGCAGUCUUUCAGUACCAGCUGCAGUCCUACAGGUGGUAAAUCUUCUCUAUUUUCAGAGCAUCCCUGGGAAGAACCCUGGAGUGAAGGAGGAGAAGCACAGGGGGUGGUGUGGCGCUGAACAGAGCCUGGAAAUGCUAUAUCUCUCAAAAUGCUGCACUCCAGGGAGCCCUGAAAGCUGCUGCAACCUAUCUCAGAAAAUGCUAUGUCAGAAAGAAAAAUAGAUUUUUUUCCUAAACUUCCUUGAAUUCUAAAGACAACAUUUAAGGCAAUCCUAAGAAGUAGCCACAGAAUGUGACUUUUUUCCCUUUUUUUUUUUUUUUUUUUUUUAAGUGCUUGUCUGAAAAUACUGCCUGAUAUGCCUGGAGAGAACCUUGGAGUACCAAAGGAAAUACUUGUGUCAUUGGCUUACUAAAUGAAUAGUAACUCUAUGGAUGUCAGAAUGAUUCAGGUGAUCACCAUUUAUAUCUUCCUCUUACUUCAUUUAGGUUUGCUCACUUUGCCCACAGGAGAUGGUGAAUAAGCCCCCUUCCAUCAUACUUGCUCUCCAGACAGACACCCAGGAGUCACCCGCAUCACCAGAUUCUGCAGAGGGCAGCAUUAAGAGCCAGGGUGAUACAUCAUUUUUUCCUGUCCAAUGCUGCUCUCUGUUGAAUGAAGUUGUAGGCGGCACAUCACGUUUGCAGUAUAUAUUGAUUUACGAUUUCAAAGUGCUGAACAAACAACUCAUUCUUCCAAGCAGACCACAGAUAAUGACUCAUUAGCUCCAAUUUAAUAUGCAGGAAAAGUGGGAGGACAAUGGUUGCACAAUUAAUCUGCUAGGCCACAGGGCAUUAAGGAUGCCAUGCUCAUCUGCUCCGCCAAUGGAGCUGCAUUAGCUCCACUGCUUGAAGCACCCAAGUGGAGGAGAAGAAAGAACCCCUUCAGCUCCUCUGUGCUGCUGCAUUCUGGGGUUUGACACCUCCUGUGCACAUUUUUUGUCCUGUUAGUCGAUGCACUGGCAUUGAACUCCACAUCUGGCUUGUGCUUUUUCUACAGCAGCUGAAAUGCAGUUUCUUGUCUUCCCAGGGAAAGGAUGCAUUGCAAGGAAAUGCUCAGUUGGAUUGUUUUCGCUUCCUUCUUUCUUUGACAGUUUUGUCUUUCCAUGGGCUGCCCUUCUGUCAGAUGUGUCUCCUUUCUGCUGGAGAACUUGGUGUCAAAUCAAACUGUACUGGGACAAAAAUAAGCCAAUUGAGUGAGUAAACAGUUGCCUGGAAAGACCAGGUACCAUCAAACAAAUAUGUUUAAAAUUGACACAAGAUGCUGUUUUCCUGCUCUGAUAGACUCAUACCCAUGCUUUAAUUGUAUCCAAACAACCAUCUGCUAUGAAAAGCAGUGCACUUGCUUUGCUGAUGUAAUCCUUAUCGGAGACUGGGAAAGCCUUGUUCUGCUUUGGGAAGCCAAGAUGCUAGGAACAUUUAUUUCAUUCAUAGUAAUGCACUUCUAAAACAUACCUUUAGGCAAACAUUUGUGCAUUUUAGUACAAAUAUUCAUCGAGGACACAUAUUCUUGGUUGUUUGCCCACAUAGAUAUGAAUAGCAUUUGAUACAUACUCAUUCUUAGUAACUCUCAAGGUUUUCUGCCUUUUCCCUUUGUCACUGAUGAAAGCAGAUAUUUGUCAGUAAAUAUUGUGUUUGGGCACACCAACAUUUCAAGAUACUGCCUGAAAAUGUGUGUUGAAGGUGUAAAGAAUUGAGGAGAAACAAGAGAAAGAAAAAUGAAAGAAGCCUUUCCUCGAUGAAUAAAAUGGGUUUUUCUGUUUUUGUAACUCAAAACAUGCGUAGGUGAAUGAAUUCUACACAAAUUCAGCUUCAGGCAGAGCCUGGGAAAAGGUGGUGAAAGUACUGGAAAAGUGUGCUCUGUAAUGAAGUCUCCUAGAUUUUAACAUUGGUGAAUUUGCAUAUAAUUAAAAGGUAAUGGAACAUGAUAUUUCCUUUAGUUCCCAUCUAAGCUAAAACAGUAGAAAGUGUAAUUUAUUAAAAAGAGCAUAAGCAGCAUUUUCCCUUCCUUUAAUCAGACCUAUGACAAUCAGAAAAAUCAAAAGUAAAUCUAAACCACAUGUGUAUAAUUCAAAACAUAAACAGAUUCUUUAGCUUAUAUACAUACUGUGAGAAAAUAGUUGGGUAAAUAGCAUCAUUGUGCUCCUGGGAAACAAUGGCAGAGACAUUGUAUGGCUGAAUUUUCAGAGACUGAAAUUUCUUUACAGAGCAACCUAUAAAAAUUUAUUGUCUAAAUCUUGCUGUAAAAUCUAUCAUGUUAUGGGCAUUUUGAUCAUACUGAAUUAAUCCUUCUCUCUCUUCUCUCUCUCUCUCUUUUUUUUUUUAAUGGGUACUUCAACAGUCAUGGG
ensembl:lncRNA